UACGGGGGGCNGCAGUGGGGAAUAUUGCACAAUGGGCGCAAGCCUGAUGCAGCCAUGCCGCGUGUAUGAAGAAGGCCCUAGGGUUGUAAAGUACUUUCAGUUGGGAGGAAGGCGUUGAUGCUAAUAUCAUCARCGAUUGACGUUACCAACAGAAGAAGCACCGGCUAACUCCGUGCCAGCAGCCGCGGUAAUACGGAGGGUGCAAGCGUUAAUCGGAAUUACUGGGCGUAAAGCGCACGCAGGCGGUUGAUUAAGUUAGAUGUGAAAUCCCCGGGCUUAACCUGGGAAUGGCAUCUAAGACUGGUCAGCUAGAGUCUUGUAGAGGGGGGUAGAAUUCCAUGUGUAGCGGUGAAAUGCGUAGAGAUGUGGAGGAAUACCGGUGGCGAAGGCGGCCCCCUGGACAAA
rnacentral:rRNA from 1 species